UAAUAUUGGAGAACGAAAAUCUGUGCUCUGUUCUUGUUUCUAUGUAACCCACAUUUCUAAUUCUUUGUGCAGCACUUCCUCCUUACAAUUUAAGAAAUAGAGGAAAAACUUAAUUUCAACAUUAUCUGCAUUUGCAAGCAAUACAAAACAAGUUUAUUCUCGUGGAUUAGUUUGAAGUUCUGAAAUUUUUCUUUUGAAAUAUCUAUAGGAAAUGCUUUAAAACUAUGUUUCUAACACUUAGACUCUCAGAUAACUUUACUAAUAAAUGAUCUCUAUUUUAGAGGCCAAACAAGGCUGUUUUGUGAAAAGGACAGUUUUAUUUUAAAGUUAAUUUUCUGGUCUUUUUAAAGCUACCCAGAAUGGAAUCCUGACAAUGAUACAGGACACACAAUGGGUGAUCCAUUCAUGUUGCAGCAGUCUACAAAUCCAGCACCAGGAAUUCUGGGACCUCCACCUCCCUCAUUUCAUCUUGGGGGACCAGCAGUUGGACCAAGAGGAAAUCUGGGUGCUGGAAAUGGAAACCUGCAAGGACCUAGACACAUGCAGAAAGGCAGAGUG
rnacentral:sRNA from 1 species